UGCAGCCAUGUCAAAUUCAGGACUCACCUUCCCCUUGGUGGGUACUGGCCCAGCCGGCUGCCACCGCAACACCCGCAGUUNNNN
rfam:Pelodiscus sinensis unplaced genomic scaffold scaffold1376, whole genome shotgun sequence.